GGAUGUGGCCCAGUGGUAGAACACUUGCCUAGCAUGCAUGAGGCUCUGGGGUUGAACCCCAGCAUCCA
rnacentral:tRNA from 1 species